UUCUCCAUGGUGUAAUGGCAGCACGAGAGGUUUUGGCCCUCUUAGUCUUGGUUCGAAUCCAGGUGGGGAAGC
rnacentral:tRNA from 1 species